rnacentral:lncRNA from 1 species
CUAAAAUAUUCUGAAAAACAAUAUCUUACAAUAGAUGUCACUAAGCCAGAUAGGAUCCUUCCCCAGAAACAAAAGGAAAAACCAACCGUGAAAAGAUCUUACCACUUCCUCUGGAAUUCGGAAUCAUCUGAAACACUGCUGGAAAUUGUGGAUUAUUCUUUUCCAGAAGUUUCUGGCAUCCAACAUGGAGUGGCUGAGGCACUUGACUCUCUCCAGAUACUGCAGUUGAGAUCCUGGUACAACUGACAAAAAGCCAGUAAAAAGGUUUUAAAAAAAAUCCUUUUACCAAGAUUCGUGUCCAUCAGAGUGUAACAUCUUCAGCAACGGGUGACCAACCCACAGGUAAGUCUGAGGAUUAAUAGGACUUGCUAAUGUUUUACAGUUUUCAAAGUUCUCAUUAGGAAAGUGCUCUGAUGGCCAUAAAAAUUUGGUCUUCAUCUACCUAUGCUCAGACUAAGAAUCUGCUUUCAUAAAUCCAACGUUUUUCCAAAGAUAUUGUAGGGUAGUAAACAGCUGUUUUCCAGAUCAGGUUAACAUGUCUUUAAUACCAGUUUCAAUUGUAGCUGAUGUUAU